CUAGAAUGCUCCAACAAUCCAAAUUGAAUGACUAGCACAACUCCAAGCAAUCCUCCUUCCUUGCAAAUAUGCGGCACCAAGGUGUGAGUGGUGAAUGGAUGGUCUCUUGUGGUGGUGGAUGGAUAUAGGUGAGUUAUGGUGAAGGGUGGAAAGUUGUGUAGAUGAUGUGGUGUCUUUGGAUGAUGGCCCCCCAAAUUAUGGUGAAGGGUGGAUGUAUUUAUAGGUUAGGGAGAGGAGUGUAUGGAGUUGUAAUGAGUGGAUGUAAUGGGUGUAGUGGGUGAGUGUUGUGGUAAUGAGUGGAUGUAAUGGGUGUAGUGGAUGAAUGUUUGGUAAUGAAUGGAUGUAAUGGGUGUAGUGGAUGAGUGUUUGGUAAUGAGUGGAUGUAAUGGGUGUAGUGGGUGGAUGUUUGGUAAUGAGUGGAUGUAAUGGGUGUAGUGGGUUAUGGUAUUGAGUGGAUGUAAUGGGUGUAGUGGAUGAGUGUUUGGUAAUGAGUGGAUGUAAUGGGUGUAGUUAAUGGAUGUUUGGUAAUGAGUGGAUGUAAUGGGUGUAGUGGAUGGAUGUUUGGAGUUGUAGGUCAACACACUUGCACACACACAUGUUGAUUUCUAGCCUUCAAAUCUUCAAAAACAUCCAUCUUCAUGUCUCCAUGCUUGCACUAUCCAAUCUUGGCUCAAAAAUGCUAUAAAAUGCUCCAAAAUGCACUUUCUUGCCAACUUUGUUAUUAUGACCUACAAACACACGAAAAUAGCUUAAAAUACAUAAUUAACUAAGAAAUAACAACACAAAUGCACAAGAACAAGCUAACUAAGUCGCAUAAAUAUGUUCCUAUCAAAUUUUUAGACCGGUGGAUUGGGUGUGCCAGCUAAAAGCUCUCUGAAGGUCAAGUUAGUGAAUGAUUUUUAAACUUAAGCAGUAGGCAAGAGAAUUGAAAUGUAUAGAUUACGUUACUGUAGAUGAACCUUAGGUGGGUGUAUUUAUACUGUGGGAGAGAAACUUUUUUAGGAUAGAAUCCUCGUUCUAAGAUGAGAGAAUCCAAGAGGAUAUUUAUUAUCUAGUCAGUAGAUAUUGCAUCCUCUUAAAAAUUGUGAUUACUUGUGGUGUACAGCUAUCCCUAGAUUGUAAGGACUCCAAGACUUGCAGGACCUGAAUGUGUCCAUAUCCAGAUCUAAUCACGUGUCUUGCGGAAGAAACAUAGUCAUUUAGCGGAGUUGCUAUGACUCCACCUAAUGCCUCGGAGUAGAGUAAUGGUGGCACCCUACUCUGUCUGAUGCAGCUCCACUCGGUGCUGGUGAGUCCAUGAAACAUCAUUUGGAUUAGACUUACUCUGGCCCUCAAAAAUCAUAGUCUCACAUCAUAAAUGUCCUCAAGCCACUCUUUAUCAACCAAUUCAUGUUGUUCUACCAAUGUCUUCCACCUUGCCUUAAAUACUUUUUUGGUUUCGAGAUCCUAUAUGCACUCAUGCAAACCCUCGAAAACACUUUCAACCAAACCAUUGUCAUUGAAUUUGUUAAUAAUAAGCUAUAUGUGAAGGAAGAUUUUAUGAAAACAUGUUCAUUUGAGCAA
rnacentral:lncRNA from 1 species